rnacentral:lncRNA from 1 species
AUCAGUCGAACAUCUCAGCGGUAAGUGCUUGCUUUCAUAUACAUACAUAUGUGUAAAUAGAUAUUGAUAAAUCCACGCUGGGUCACUCAAAAGCAGGCCCUGGGGAGGGAAAAACCGGCUCAGGGAGGGCUCGCCGGCACCACCGCCUCCUGCUGCAGCCCGGGGUCCGGUGUACCGGCACUGCGCGGGUUUCACGGGCACGGAUAGUGCUCUCCCGUCUGCUCGCCCGGAGCGCCGGCAGCGUUUUACGGUGCGAGGUGCCGCCUUGGGCGCUUCAGCAGAGCUAUAAGUAGUUAAUAAAGGGGCUGGGAAGAGAUCCUGUUUACUGAUUGUUGCUGAUUGUUGUUUUCUUGAUAACAGAGCAAGCCACUGAAUGACUGUUUGAGCUCAGGCGCCACAAACAUAAACUUAACAGCUCCCAGCGUGCCGGCCUUGCUGAAGGAUCACUCCUCACCUCCCGGGACUUGUGAAGUGCAGGCGGAGAAGGCAGCUCCUGAGGAGGCGGCGGGGAGACAGGCUCCGGGGGGGCGGGGGAGGCCAUGCUGUGUGACUGAGCUUUCUGUAUGGUAUCGUAUCUGCUGUCCUUAGCCGGGGAAAGGGGUGCAAAACUAAUCGGUGCUUUUCCCCAAGGCUCCUGUCGGUGCCGAAGGUUGGGGCAAGGUCCGUGCGACGCUCUUAGCAGCAUUCGAGGCGGGAAAGGCGGCUUUUGCUUCGAACUGCUGUUUCUUAGUACUGAUUUUCAUUUCUUGCGGCUCACCACACCAGGCGCUCAGGGUGCCGGGGAGGGAAAGCAGAGGAGGCGGGAGUGCCGCGCGGCAUCACCGCACCCGGCCUGGUCCCAGCAACGGGGCUGGGUUACCUGCUGCCUCGGAUUGCCGGAUUGCUUCGGCUGCGUCGGGGGACGAGAUGUGGAGAGAAAGAAGGAAAAAGGUUGCAAAACAGGAUUUUUGCUAAAGUUGAAGAUGCAAGCUGAGGUCCCAGCCCUUACAGCGCUUACUGUGAGUAACUUGAAGCAAUUAUUACAACUCUGGUGAUUCAGGAAUUGCAGGGGCAAACUGUAAAGGUUACAGAGAGCCUUUUGUGAAGGUAGUGGAAGAUUUGCUGCUAACAUCUCAUGAAGCAGGAAUGCGUAUCACUGAAGGGCUGAGCCCAGUGUUCUCCGAAGUUAGUGGCAAAGAUCCCUUGACAUGUGAGUAUAAAAUCAGUGGUACUAUUUUG